AGAGUUUGAUCAUGGCUCAGAUUGAACGCUGGCGGCAGGCUUAACACAUGCAAGUCGAGCGGUAACAGGAAUAGCUUGCUAUUUGCUGACGAGCGGCGGACGGGUGAGUAAUGCUUGGGAAUAUGCCUUAUGGUGGGGGACAACAGUUGGAAACGACUGCUAAUACCGCAUAAUGUCUACGGACCAAAGGGGGGGAUCUUCGGACCUCUCGCCAUUUGAUUAGCCCAAGUGAGAUUAGCUAGUUGGUAAGGUAAUGGCUUACCAAGGCGACGAUCUCUAGCUGGUUUGAGAGGAUGAUCAGCCACACUGGGACUGAGACACGGCCCAGACUCCUACGGGAGGCAGCAGUGGGGAAUAUUGCACAAUGGGGGAAACCCUGAUGCAGCCAUGCCGCGUGUGUGAAGAAGGCCUUCGGGUUGUAAAGCACUUUCAGUUGUGAGGAAAGGUGUGUAGUUAAUAGCUGCAUACUGUGACGUUAACAACAGAAGAAGCACCGGCUAACUUCGUGCCAGCAGCCGCGGUAAUACGAGGGGUGCAAGCGUUAAUCGGAAUUACUGGGCGUAAAGCGUUCGUAGGCGGUUGAAUAAGCAAGAUGUGAAAGCCCAGGGCUCAACCUUGGAACUGCAUUUUGAACUGUUCGACUAGAGUACUGUAGAGGGGGGUAGAAUUUCA
rnacentral:rRNA from 1 species